CCUACGGGGGGCUGCAGUAGGGAAUAUUGCUCAAUGGGGGAAACCCUGAAGCAGCAACGCCGCGUGGAGGAUGAAGGUUUUCGGAUUGUAAACUCCUUUUGUUAGAGAAGAUAAUGACGGUAUCUAACGAAUAAGCACCGGCUAACUCCGUGCCAGCAGCCGCGGUAAUACGGAGGGUGCAAGCGUUACUCGGAAUCACUGGGCGGAAAGAGCGCGGAGGCGGGAUAGCAAGUCAGAUGUGAAAUCCUAUGGCUUAACCAUAGAACUGCAUUUGAAACUGUUAUUCUAGAGUAUGGGAGAGGUAGGUGGAAUUCUUGGUGUAGGGGUAAAAUCCGUAGAGAUCAAGAGGAAUACUCAUUGCGAAGGCGACCUGCUAGAACAUAACUGACGCUGAUGCGCGAAAGCGUGGGGAGCAAACAGGAUUAGAUACCCUAGUAGUC
rnacentral:rRNA from 1 species